GGUAACAUCAGUGCUUCUGUUGAGCACAGUGGUCACUCAAAAGAGGCAGAGUGAGUUCAGCCUAUCAUUUGAGAUCCGAGUAUGAUUGGGGAAAUAUCCUGAAAUAGUCUAUGAUUUGAAGAAAUGGAUAGAUGGCUAGAAUAACAUGCUAGAUGGUAGUCAAGUUACUAACUGCAGAAUUGAUUUGAUAAAAUUCUCAUCGUGUCUCCUGACUUAGGAGAAAUAUUGGGUCUGAUGAAUGGGUAAAAUUCCCAGGUGAAAAGAAUUUGGUCUGUAAGAUUUGGCAGCACCCUGAGGUUUGCCAUAUCUGAUGGCCUGGCUUUAGUGGCAGCACCUAGUGAAGGCCCAGGUGUCCUUCUGACAACCUUUACCACCUACCGUUUUGUCCUUACUUAUGUUGAAUCACUACACACAGGCUGUUGAAUUCAGCUGUCUGUGGAGAAAUUAUACCAACCACAUGGUUAGACAGAAGGAAUACAAUAUAUUGCUUAAUUUGUAUCUGAAAGCUAAGCAACAUGGAAAAAAAUCAAGCAUGCUCAGUCACUUCCAUGAGGACAAACGAAGACACUUCAAGAUAAUGAUUGAUACACCUCCCAUGCCCCACCUCUCACCCAGGACAGGAUCGAAGUGUUGGGGGAGCCACAACCUGCUUCACCUAGAAAGAGGACAUUGACAUGGAUCUGCCAGCUUUCUAAGACUUUCCCCAGAUUCAAGUCCAGUCACAUCAAGUUGCCUUAUUAAAGGGUCUGCCCACUCAAAAGGAGAAAGUGCAAAAGAUGCUCAGCAAGGGUAGCAAACGCAGUCAGAUGAUACUUCCUGACAGCAUCCAAGAGCAAGUCUCACCACCACAUCUGUCAAUAAAAAAGAAAACAAGGAGCUGCCAAUUUGUCUAUUUAUAGGUGCCAAUAAAAUCCUGCACAGAA
rnacentral:lncRNA from 1 species